ACAGAUCUAUUUCAAUUACGAAAUGAAAGAAAAUAAUAUUUAUACGAAACCGCGGAAAACCAAAACUAAUAUCAGAAAAGCACAGAUCAAAUCCAGUUACAAAAUGCAAAAAUAACAGAGUACCAUGUUUGUGAAUUUCAAUUCAUCCUAUUCCAUUAUAUUAUACUAUAAGCAUCCAUUAUAUUAUACUAUAAGCAGGGUAAUCCUUAGAUGGAAGUAUAUGUACUAUAUGUGUACUCACAUAAUGGAAAAAAUAAAUCAUUAACAUAAUUAAUCGAGGCUGCAACAGCAAUCUCCUUUUCUCUUUAAAUUUUAGUUCUUUUUAUGCGAUUCCACUAAACUAUCACCUUGAAUUUUGCAGUUUUUUCCCCACUAUAUAUAUUACUCCUCAUCACAGCCAGUGUUUGUCACUCACCUCCAACAAUAUAUAUGUCUCAGCGCUAAUACAAAAUCAAAAACACGAAACAACUUACACGAAUAAUGAUGAAAAUAUCAUAUUAAUCAACAAAAUCUGAAAGAACAAACCUAAAAAAUUGAGAGCCAAUUAACCAAAGAUGACCUGGAAAACAAAAAAAAAAUUUCGGAUGNUUUUUUAUGAAUCAAAUUUGACGAUAUUUAAAAAAGAAUUACUAAAAAAAGAGAAGAAAAAUAAUGAAAGAGAGAAGGAAAAAGGAUGGAAAAUAUGUAGGGAAACAACUCCUUUUUACUCCCUCCGUCCGCCAAAAGUAGACCACUUUGGUUGGGCACGAGAUUUAUAAAAUUGGUGAUGAUUUUGAUGUAGUGGAGAAAGGGUCCCACCACUUUAUGAGAUGUGUGGUUGAGAUUGAAUUUGAGGUGGGUUUUUUUUGUAAAUAAAGAGUGUUUGUAAGGAUAAAAGAUUAAAGUGGGUGGUGGGACCAUUUCCAUAAGAGGAAAGUGGUCUACUCUUUGCGGACGCUUAAUAUAGUAAAAGUGUCUACUUAUUACAUAGAUUAUUGCCCCUUGCCUAAUUUCCAAAUUAUCUACUCUAACAACAAAAUUAAUCCAAACUAUUAUCUUUAUUACGUUCUUUUGUAAAGAACAACUUGUCAUUCUUUUUUGCUUGCGCUAAUUUUUGCUCACAAAUUGAAAAUAUUGGACGCAGAAAAUCAAUUUGAAGAGAAUUAAAAUUAAAAAUUUUCAACACAAAAAGUGUUUAAAAACUCAAUAUAAUAAAAAUAUAAAGUAUAUAAUAAAAGUGCUACAAGAAAUUUUAGAUGAAGUUAUAAAGCUAGAAGCUACUUAACUUUUUAAACAAAUCCAAACAUGACCAGAUACCACAAACAUAAUCAUGGUUUGAUUACAUUUUGAUGAACAUAACACGGCUUAAUUUUUUCAGUGAAAGAAAUAACUAUCCAAGCCGAAUAUUUCCAUAGAUAGAUCAGAUGGUCUUUCUUCUUGAAGUUUAUUACUGCUCUUUUGAUUAGUUAUCUAAUGGAUAUCCAAUAUCCAUGUAAUAUUUGCGCACUGCUUUUCUGUACUCUGCAAUCAGAAUUUGUAAAAGCCACGUUUUCCAAUACCACGCACCAUUGGAUCGAGUUCAAGAAAAAAAUGCAAAUUCUACGAACUUCUUGGUUCUUCCAGAGCAAAGCAGUAGACACAUUGAGAGGGCUCUGAGUAUUGGGUUCUGCUCAUUACAACGCGAGCAUAAGAAAAACUAUUACAUAAAUACAUACAAAAGAGCUCCUAAUAGUGAGACAAAAGAGCUCCUAAUAGCUCAUAAAUACAUACAAAAGAGCCAGUAGAAAAAGUGAGACAACAACGCCAUCUGACCUCCUAAUAGGCUCUGGAUGGACAAGAGAAUCGUUCUGCAAUCAUAUGCUGAACACCACUUAUCCUGCAACAACAAAAUUCAAGUCAUAAAAGUUGGGAUGAAGCAAAAGAAUCUGAAAUAUUUUGACAUGGAUGCAGAAAAGCAAAUGAGAAGGUGAGAAUGACAAUACAAGGCUAAUUACUUGAAGAAUGCCCAAACAAAUAUUCCCAAAUUGGUCGACAUUUGAAUGGAAGCAUCAAGCAUGUAGUCUCAAACGUGACUUGAGAAAGGCUAAUCUAGAUUCUAGUGGAAAGCACAACCAAAGUUUGUAAGACGGACCGUCAUGGUUCAUUUGCCGCCUUAAAUUCUGCAAGUCCACGUAAAUAUGCUCCCCCUGUCAGGAAAGGCAGAUGCUCCCAGAUCUCCACCACUCAUCUAUGUUACUCCUAUAAAUCAGAGACACCAUUUAAAUACUGUAAAAAACAACUAACCGAGCACCACUAUGUCUUCUUGACAUUACAGAUUGUUAAACAUCAACUCAUGAAGAAAUGAGUGCAACACAUCAACUCCACUGCCUUACCUCAAGUAAGGCCAAUACUUUUUCAUUCCAAACGAUACGCAAUCGAAUAUAUUUGGGAUUAUAUUUGUUACAUAAAAUAUAAAGCACAGAUCUAAACGGUGCAAUAAUAUCAAGAAAAAGCACAGAUCUAAUUCAAUUACGAAAUGAAAGAAAAUAAUAUUUAUACGAAACCACGAAAAACCAAAACUAAUAUCAGAAAAACACAGAUCAAAUCCAAUUACAAAAUGCAAAAAUAACAGAGUACCAUGUUUGUGAAUUUCAAUUCAUCCUAUUCCAUUAUAUUAUACUAUAAGCAGGGUAAUCCUAUAAGCAUCAUUAUAUUCCAUUAUGUUAUUCCAUCAUAAUAUCUAUUCCAUUAUAUUCAUACUAUAAGUAUCCAUUAUAUUAUACUAUAAGCAGGGUAAUCCUUAGAUGGAAGUAUAUGUACUAUAUGCGUACUCACAUAAUGGAAAAAAUAAAUCAUUAACAUAAUUAAUCGAGGCUGCAACAGCAAUAUCCUUUUCUCUUUAAAUUUUAGUUCUUUUUAUGCGAUUCCACUCAACUAUCACCUCGAAUUUUGCAGUUUUUUCCCUACUAUAUAUAUAUCAGCCAGUGUUUGUCACUCACCUCCAACAAUAUAUAUUUCUCAGCACUAAUACAAAAUCAAAAACACGAAACAACUUACAUGAAUAAUGAUGAAAAUAUCAUAUUAAUCAACAAAAUCUGAAAGAACAAACCUCAAAAAUUGAGAGCCAAUUAACCAAAGAUGACCUGGAAAACAAAAAAAAGAAUUUCGGAUGGUAUGCGUGGAAACCAUUUCCCAAAAAUUUAUAGUUGAAAAGACAGGGUAUAAUUAACGAUUGAGAAGCUUAUGUUAGACUUUUUACCUUCAUUGGGGGCAUUAAUCAAUGAGAAUCAAGAGGUGAUUGAGGUAGAGUUCAUGGAAACGAUUAAGGAGAAUGGAGAAUCGAGAGGCAAAUGACAGAGAUCUUGUGAGAAGCCAGCCACCAUCAUAAUAGAAACAUUGAUUUGGAGAUGGUAAGGACCUGAUUAUUGAAUUCCAUUGAUUAUGGUGAAACGCUUUCCAUUGAUUGUGGUGAAACACAACUGAGAUUUGAGUGAGGGGAUUAUAAUGGAAAUGUUGAAGAAGAUAUUAAGGAAUUUUGAGGA
rnacentral:lncRNA from 1 species